rnacentral:rRNA from 1 species
UGGGGAAUAUUGCACAAUGGGCGAAAGCCUGAUGCAGCGACGCCGCGUGAGGGAUGACGGCCUUCGGGUUGUAAACCUCUUUCGCCAGGGACGAAGCGCAAGUGACGGUACCUGGAUAAGAAGCCCCGGCUAACUACGUUCCAGCAGCCGCGGUAAUAUGUAGGGUGCGAGCGUUGUCCGGAUUUAUUGGGCGUAAAGAGCUCGUAGGCGGUUUGUCGCGUCGGCUGUGAAAUCUGGAGGCUUAACCUUCAGCGUGCAGUCGAUACGGGCAGACUUGAGUUCGGUAGGGGAGACUGGAAUUCCUGGUGUAGCGGUGAAAUGCGCAGAUAUCAGGAGGAACACCGGUGGCGAAGGCGGGUCUCUGGGCCGAUACUGACGCUGAGGAGCGAAAGCGUGGGGAGCGAAC